rnacentral:lncRNA from 1 species
UAAGCAAAAGAUUCUUUGCUUAAAACAUUGAAACCACCUCCAUGACCACCAGCAACAACAAAACCAACAAAACCCAAGACAAACUAGUUUUGUGGCAGCAACAAUAAAAGCCCAGGUCAAGUAAGUAAGUUAUUUUUUAAGGAACACAAAUUAAGUGUUUGCAUUUGUCCUUUGUUUUGAAUUAUGCUGCUUGCAAAGAGAAUCGUUUGAAAGGACUAAUAAAACACCAUCAAAACCCAAGCUAG